rnacentral:rRNA from 1 species
AGGUGAACGAGUGAAACGUGGUCAAGGAACUCGGCAUAAUGAUCCCGUAACUUCGGAAGAAGGGAUGCCAGAGAGGGUGUAGGGUACACCGAAGCUCUCCCUGGUCGCAGCGAAUCGGCCCAAGCGACUGUUUAGCAAAAACACAGGUGUGUGCCAAGCCGCACAAGGCGCCGUAUACACACUGACGCCUGCCCGGUGCCGGAAGGUUAAGGGGAGAGGUUAGCCGCAAGGCGAAGCUUUGAGCCGAAGCCCCGGUAAACGGCGGCCGUAACGAUAACGGUCCUAAGGUAGCGAAAUUCCUUGUCGGGUAAGUUCCGACCUGCACGAAUGGCGUAACGACUUGGGCACUGUCUCGACCACGUGCUCGGCGAAAUGGCAGUCUCGGUGAGGAUUCCGAGUCCCCGCGACAGGACAAAAAGACCCCAUGCACCUUUACUGUAGCUUGUCAUUGGUCGUUGCACAUCGCUGUGUAGCAUAGGUGGGAGGCGUUGAUCCGUGGGCGCUAGCUUACGGGGAGCCAUCAGUGAAAUACCACCCUGCGUCGUGCGACGCCCUCACCACGGCGGGAACACCCCGUCUGGGACCGUGGCAGGUGGGCAGUUUGACUGGGGCGGUCGCCUCCGAAACAGUAACGGAGGCGCGCGCAAGGUUGGCUCAGCGCGGACGGUACUCGCGCUUCUAGAGUGUAACGGCAGAAGCCAGCCUGACGGUGAGAUCGACGGAUCGAGCCGCCACGAAAGUGGGCCGUAGUGAUCCGGUAGCCCGGGGUGGAGCGGCUAUCGCGCAACGGAUAAAAGGUACGCUGGGGAUAACAGGCUUAUCGCGCCCGAGAGUUCACAUCGACGGCGCGGUUUGGCACCUCGAUGUCGGCUUAUCACAUCCUGGGGCUGGAGAAGGUCCCAAGGGUCCGGCUGUUCGCCGGUUAAAGUGGUACAUGAGCUGGGUUCAGAACGUCGUGAGACAGUUCGGUCUGUAUCCGUCGUGGGCGUUGGAGAGUUGAGGGGAGCGGACUCUAGUACGAGAGGACCGAGUCGGACGACCCGCUCGUGUCCCGGUUGUCCUGCCAAGGGCACCGCCGGGUAGCGAUGGUCGGCUGUGAUAACCGCUGAAAGCAUCUAAGUGGGAAGCACGCCCCAAGAUGAACUCUCCCGAGGCCUUGAGCCUCUUGAAGGGCCGGGGAAGACCACCCCGUCGAUAGGCCGCCCGUGGACGUCCCGCAAGGGAUUCCAAGCGCAGCGGUCCUAAUCGCCCGUAUGGCUUGACUAC